AGUAAAAGUCGUAACAAGGUUUCCGUAGGUGAACCUGCGGAAGGAUCAUUAAAGAGUAAGGGUGCUCAGCGCCCGACCUCCAACCCUUUGUUGUUAAAACUACCUUGUUGCUUUGGCGGGACCGCUCGGUUCCGAGCCGCUGGGGAUUCGUCCCAGGCGAGUGCCCGCCAGAGUUAAACCAAACUCUUGUUAUUAAACCGGUCGUCUGAGUUAAAAUUUUGAAUAAAUCAAAACUUUCAACAACGGAUCUCUUGGUUCUCGCAUCGAUGAAGAACGCAGCGAAAUGCGAUAAGUAAUGUGAAUUGCAGAAUUCAGUGAAUCAUCGAAUCUUUGAACGCACAUUGCGCCCCUUGGUAUUCCGAGGGGCAUGCCUGUUCGAGCGUCAUUACACCACUCAAGCUAUGCUUGGUAUUGGGUGUCGUCCUUAGUUGGGCGCGCCUUAAAGACCUCGGCGAGGCCUCCCCGGCUUUAGGCGUAGUAGAAUUUAUUCGAACGUCUGUCAAAGGAGAGGAACUCUGCCGACUGAAACCUUUAUUUUUACAGGUUGACCUCGGAUCAGGUAGGGAUACCCGCUGAACUUAAGCAUAUCAAUAAGCGGAGGAAAAGAAACCAACAGGGAUUGCCCCAGUAACG
rnacentral:rRNA from 1 species